UGUAUUCUUUUUAUACACAUUUAUCACAUAUUUCUGUUUUGCUCCACUUAACUGGUUUUCUAUGCUCUCCUUUUCUAUCUGUAUAUGGAUAUAAAUACAUGUAAUCUUUACUUUUAAAUAUCACUUAUGUGUGGAAUUUUUUUUAAAAGAAAAAAUUCAAACUAAGUUGAAGGCAAAUGACUCAAUGCUUGAUUUGCAUAAACUUGUGUCCCCAUGCCCAGUCUCUCCAAUAGUCUACAUAGAGAUUUCCCCAUUUCCUCUCACAUUUGACUCCAAAUGGAUUUUUCCUUUAGAA
rnacentral:lncRNA from 1 species